rnacentral:miRNA from 1 species
UUUGGUUUUGCAAUUUAUUAGGUUGGUACAAAAGUAAUUGCUGUUUUUGUCAUUAAAAGUAAAUGUCAAAAACUGCAAUUAUUUUUGCAUCAACCUAAUAAUCAUUCUUUAUUUU